rnacentral:misc_RNA from 1 species
GAUGAAGAACGCAGCGAAAUGCGAUAAGUAAUGUGAAUUGCAGAAUUCAGUGAAUCAUCGAAUCUUUGAACGCACCUUGCGCCUUUUGGUAUUCCGAAAGGCACACCUGUUUGAGCGUCAUGAAUACCUCAAUCUCCAUCUUUUCUUCGGAUUGAUGGGUGACUUGGAUGUUGAGCCCUGCUGGUAUGCUAUAUCAGCUGGCUUUAAACUUAUUAGCCGGCUCUGUACUGGAUCGGUUUGACUCGACGUGAUAAUAUUAUCGUUGAGGAUGCAUGUCUCAUGCAGCCGGAAAGUAUCAAAGCAGCUUCUAGCUUGCCUUUAGUGCACUUUUACAUUUUAGACCUCAGAUCAGGUGGGACUACCCGCUGAACUUAAGCAUACAAUAAGCGGAGGA